UCUCCCUGAUUCCCCUGCUCUGGUUUUCUCUGGUAGCCUACGUUGUCAAACAUUUGCAUCCCAAUGUGUUCCAACCACAACAUCUUGUUUUUUCGCUACCACAAACUCGGUCGUCUUUGAAAACCGCCGCAGCAUCUGGGACAGUUCACAUUACGAGACACGUCAGAACCACUGAAGGUAGACAACCUGUCAUGACGGGAAGAAACCUGGAAUCCACAUGUCUGCUAGGAAAAUCACAGCCAAAGCACAACAUCCACAGCAUCUCUGUUUGUAUCACUUUGCAUCAGUGGGCAAUUAAUGCUGUCAUUCAUCAGAACUGUGUCAGAGAUUCCUCAUUAAAUCGAGCUAUGAUUGCUUCUAUUAUCAUUUUGGCACCAAACUCCACAGCCUAUAUACUGUUGAUUUGAACUGUAGGCAGAAGCCAGAGGUUGAGGUCAUCAACAGAAAGCCACCCAGGAGCUGGGAGAGAAAUUCACUGUCUUGCCUAAGGAUACUUCAAGGUCCUGUACAGUUGAAGGAGAGCUUCCCUGCACACUAUGAGACUACAAUGCCCCUCACUUGAGAUGUGCACGAACAAAGACACUAUAAAAAA